AACACUUUCCCUCCUUGGAGUCAAGUCAGAGUUGGAGUUUUCUUCCACUUGUUCCACGCUUAGAUGGGGAGAGGAGCUAUAGCAAAUAACUGAAGCUUAAUUGAUCAACUCAAGUGAUGCCUGGAGUUCUCAUCACAUUAAUCCUUUAGUAGUGGCUACAUUUAUGAGGUACCUCUGAAGCACAGAAUUCUACAAAGUGUUGGGAGAAUAUGUUUGAACACAUGGUCAAGUGUAACAAAGUGGUCACUGGUAUUUUUGACUCAAUGAAGAAGGCUCUACUAAGCAGGCUUAAACUUGAAGGUUGCGGAGGCUGGUGCUUGGAAUUGAGAUGUGC